UACGUAGGGUGCGAGCGUUGUCCGGAAUUAUUGGGCGUAAAGAGCUCGUAGGCGGUUUGGUAAGUCGGGUGUGAAAUCUCCACGCUCAACGUGGAGGGGCCACUCGAUACUGCCCCUGACUAGAGUCCGGUAGAGGAGUAUGGAAUUCCCGGUGUAGCGGUGAAAUGCGUAGAUAUCUGGAGGAAUACCGGUGGCGAAGGCGGCAUCCUGGACCGGCAUUGACGCUGAUGAGCGAAAGCUAGGGGAGCAAACGGG
rnacentral:rRNA from 1 species